rnacentral:rRNA from 1 species
ACUUUAACUGUAUCCUGCUGAAUACACCGGAUCCCAUUUGAUUUCCGAAGUAAAUCAGCUACGAGUUGUUUUGCUACUUGUAUGUAAGACCUUCUGGCAACUGUUAGUAGCGUAAGUC